UUCCGGUUGAUCCCGCCGGAGGUCACUGCUAUCGGGGUUCGAUUAAGCCAUGCGAGUCGAGAGGGUUCGGCCCUCGGCGUACUGCUCAGUAACACGUGGAUAACCUGCCCUAGGGAAGGGGAUAACCCCGGGAAACUGGGGAUAAUACCCUAUAGGUUACAGAUGCUGGAAUGCCCUGUAACCCAAAGUUCCGACGCCCUAGGAUGGAUCUGCGGCCGAUUAGGUUGUUGUUGGGGUAAUGGCCCAACAAGCCCGUAAUCGGUACGGGUUGUGGGAGCAAGAGCCCGGAGUUGGAUUCUGAGACACGAAUCCAGGCCCUACGGGGCGCAGCAGGCGCGAAAACUUUACAAUGCGGGCAACCGUGAUAAGGGAACCUCGAGUGCCUGUAAAUGCAGGCUGUUCAGGUGCCUAAAACACACCUGAAGAAAGGGCCGGGCAAGACCGGUGCCAGCCGCCGCGGUAAUACCGGCGGCUCGAGUGGUGGCCGCUUUUAUUGGGCUUAAAGCGUUCGUAGCUGGGUUGUUAAGUCUCUUGGGAAAUCUGGCGGCUUAACCGUCAGGCGUCUAAGGGAUACUGGCAAUCUUGGAACCGGGAGAGGUGAGGGGUACUUCGGGGGUAGGAGUGAAAUCCUGUAAUCCUCGAGGGACCACCUGUGGCGAAGGCGCCUCACCAGAACGGCUUCGACAGUGAGGGACGAAAGCUGGGGGAGCAAACCGGAUUAGAUACCCGGGUAGUCCCAGCCGUAAACUAUGCGCGUUAGGUGUAUCGGUGACCACGAGUUACCGAGGUGCCGAAGGGAAACCGUGAAACGUGCCGCCUGGGAAGUACGGUCGCAAGGCUGAAACUUAAAGGAAUUGGCGGGGGAGCACCACAACAGGUGGAGCCUGCGGUUUAAUUGGACUCAACGCCGGGAAGCUCACCGGAUAAGACAGCAGAAUGAUUGCCGGGCUGAAGACUCUGCAUGACUAGCUGAGAGGAGGUGCAUGGCC
rnacentral:rRNA from 1 species